rnacentral:rRNA from 1 species
ACUCAAAUGAAUUGACGGGGACCCGCACAACCGGUGGAGCGUGUGGUUCAAUUCGAGACAAAGCGAAAACCUUACCAGGGUUUGACAUCUUACCGUUUUAUACCUAUGGAAACACUGGUAGAUCCGCAAGGAUGGUAGGACAGGUGUUGCAUGGCUGUCGUCAGUUCGUGCCGUGAGGUGUUCCCUUAAGUGGGGAAACGAACGCAACCCCCGUGUAAUGUUAUAUAUUCAUUACAGACUGCUCUGCUUUUCGCAGAGAGGAAGGAGGGGCGGAUGUCAAGUCAGCACGGCCCUUAUACCCUGGGAUACACACACCCUACAAUGGCGAAAAACAAUGAGCUGCAAGUCGGUAACGGCAAGCUAAUCUCACAAAUUUCGCCUCAGUUCAGAUUGAGGUCUGCAACCCGACCUCAUGAAGUCGGAAUCGGUAGUAAUCGCGUAUCAGAAGGACGCGGUGAAUACGUUCUCGGGUCUUGUACACACCGCCCGU